UUUUUCUUUUAGCCAUAUCCUUCUCGGCUGUGUUCCAACACAAAUCCCUGUAUAUGCUUGUCAUGAUCAAUUGUGCCAAUAACAAUUGUCAAAUCCAAUAUACCCAUUUCAUCUCCCACACCUUGCUCUCCCCUCAAUACAUGGAAAAUCAAGUUAUAACUAAUCUUCCCAUAAAGUCUCAAACUUGCCAACUACUUCAAAUGAAAAAUUCAAGAGUUG
rnacentral:misc_RNA from 1 species